rnacentral:RNase_P_RNA from 1 species
AGGUGGACAGGGGAUCGCCGGCGGACAAGCACCGUCCGCGGGAGGAAAGUCCGGGCUCCAUAGGGCGGGGAGGUCGGUAACGCCGACCCGGGGCAACCCGAGGGAAAGCGCCACAGAAAAAACACCGCCGAUGGCCGCUGCGAAAGUGGUUGGCACAGGCAAGGGUGAAAUCGUGGGGUAAGAGCCCACGCGCGACAGCCGGGCGACCGGCGGCGAGGCAAGCCCCUCCCGGAGCAAGCUUGAAUAGGGAUGCCUUCGAGAACGGCUCGUUCGAUGGCGACCGCUUGCGGUCAUCAGGGCAUCCGGGUUAGAGCGCUCGAGCGUCGUGGCAACGCGACGCCUAGAUGAAUGAUCCCCACCGGACCCGGGGCAACCCGGCCCGGUACAGAACCCGGCUUACCGUCCACCUC